AGUGAACGCUGGCGGUAGGCCUAACACAUGCAAGUCGAACGGCAGCACAGUAAGAGCUUGCUCUUACGGGUGGCGAGUGGCGGACGGGUGAGGAAUACAUCGGAAUCUACUUUUUCGUGGGGGAUAACGUAGGGAAACUUACGCUAAUACCGCAUACGACCUACGGGUGAAAGCAGGGGAUCUUCGGACCUUGCGCGAUUGAAUGAGCCGAUGUCGGAUUAGCUAGUUGGCGGGGUAAAGGCCCACCAAGGCGACGAUCCGUAGCUGGUCUGAGAGGAUGAUCAGCCACACUGGAACUGAGACACGGUCCAGACUCCUACGGGAGGCAGCAGUGGGGAAUAUUGGACAAUGGGCGCAAGCCUGAUCCAGCCAUACCGCGUGGGUGAGGAAGGCCUUCGGGUUGUAAAGCCCUUUUGUUGGGAAAGAAAAGCAGCAGGUUAAGACCCCGCUGUUCUGACGGUACCCAAAGAAUAAGCACCGGCUAACUUCGU
rnacentral:rRNA from 1 species